rnacentral:rRNA from 1 species
UACGGAGGGGGCUAGCGUUGUCCGAAGUUACUGGGCGUAAAGCGUCUGUAGGUGGCUUUUCAAGUCCGCCGUCAAAUCCCAGGGCUCAACCCUGGACAGGCGGUGGAAACUGCCAAGCUGGAGUACGGUAGGGGCAGAGGGAAUUUCCGGUGGAGCGGUGAAAUGCGUAGAGAUCGGAAAGAACACCAACGGCGAAAGCACUCUGCUGGGCCGACACUGACACUGAGAGACGAAAGCUAGGGGAGCGAAUGGG